AAAACAACUACCCACAUCAAUAACCCCUAAAACACGUAACCCAUAACUAAACAAAACAUUUUCCCCCUUUAGUAUAGGUGAUAGAAAAAGAACCCUGGAACUACAGAGAAAGUACCGCAAGGGAAUGCUGAAAAAGAAAUGAAAUAACUCAGUCAAGCCCAAAAAAGCAGAGAUUUUAACUCGUACCUUUUGCAUCAUGAUUUAACUAGAAAUUUUCGAGCAAAGAGUGCUUUAGUUCGACCCCCCGAAACUAAGUGAGCUACUCCAAGACAACCUGCUUUAGGGUAAACCCGUCUCUGUUGCAAAAGAGUGGGAAGAGCUUCGAGUAGCGGUGACAGACCAAUCGAACUUAGUUAUAGCUGGUUGCCUGAGAACUGGAUAAAAGUUCAGCCUCCCGGAUUCUCCACUCACUGUGCUCCGUGCCUAUAAAGACACACCAAACUAUAAAAACACAUAAGUAAACCCUUUAGUAAACACUUAAGAAAACGCUUAAAAAGACGCUUAAAGAAACCGAGAGAGUUAAUCAAAGGGGGUACAGCCCCUUUGAUACAAGAUACAACUUUAACAGGAGGGUAAAGAUCAUAAUUAAACAAGGCAGCGUGUAUCAGUGGGCCUAAGAGCAGCCACCUUAACAGAAAGCGUUAAAGCUCGAACACUUCCCCUGCCCUAUAUCCCGACAACCCAAUCUCACCCCCCUAACCCUACCAGGCCGCUCCAUGCAAGCAUGGAUGAGAUUAUGCUAAUAUGAGUAACAAGAGAACACCCGAUUCUCUCCUGACACAAGUGUAAAUCGGAGCGGACCUGCCACCGAACCUUAACGGCCCCAAACAAAGAGGGCACUGAAUAAUUAACCUUAGUAGCCUAGAAAAACACUCAACAUAACACCGUUAACCCUACACUGGUGUGUCCACAAGGAAAGACUGAGAGAAAGAGAAGGAACUCGGCAAACACGAGCCUCGCCUGUUUACCAAAAACACCGCCUCUUGCAAAACUAACGAAUAAGAGGUCCCGCCUGCCCACUGACUAUAUGUUCAACGGCCGCGGUAUUUUGACCGUGCGAAGGUAGCGUAAUCACUUGUCUUUUAAAUGAGGACCUGUAUGAAUGGCACAACGAGGGCUCGACUGUCUCCUCUUUCCGGUCAAUGAAAUUGAUCUUACCGUGCAGAAGCGGUAAUAUUAACAUAAGACGAGAAGACCCUAUGGAGCUUUAGAUAACAAGGCAGACUGCGUUAAGCACCCUUAUAGAAAAGAUCAAACUAGCUGAACUACUGCCCGAAUGUCUUUGGUUGGGGCGACCACGGCGAAACAAAAAACCCCCGUGCGGAAAGAGGGGACCAUCCCUCCAAACCAAGAGCUCCCGCUCUAAUGAACAGAAUAUCUGACCUAUAAGAUCCGGCAAUGCCGAUCAACGGACCGAGUUACCCUAGGGAUAACAGCGCAAUCCCCUUCUAGAGUCCAUAUCGACAAGGGGGCUUACGACCUCGAUGUUGGAUCAGGACAUCCUAAUGGUGCAGCCGCUAUUAAGGGUUCGUUUGUUCAACGAUUAAAGUCCUACGUGAUCUGAGUUCAGACCGGAGUAAUCCAGGUCAGUUUCUAUCUAUGACAUGAUCUUUUCUAGUACGAAAGGACCGCAAAGAAGAGGCCCAUGCUUCAAGUACGCCUCACCUUGACCUCCUGAAAACAACUAAAAAAGGCAAUAGGGCAUAUUUAU
rnacentral:rRNA from 1 species